GUCGCAUGCACCGGCCGCCAUGGCGCCGGGAAUUCGAUUGUUUGAUCCUGGCUCAGGACGAACGCUGGCGGCGUGCCUAAUACAUGCAAGUCGAGCGAGCGGAACUAACAGAUUUACUUCGGUAAUGACGUUAGGAAAGCGAGCGGCGGAUGGGUGAGUAACACGUGGGGAACCUGCCCCAUAGUCUGGGAUACCACUUGGAAACAGGUGCUAAUACCGGAUAAGAAAGCAGAUCGCAUGAUCAGCUUUUAAGAGGCGGCGUAAGUGUCGCUAUGGGAUGGCCCCGCGGUGCAUUAGCUAGUUGGUAAGGUAAAGGCUUACCAAGGCGAUGAUGCAUAGCCGAGUUGAGAGACUGAUCGGCCACAUUGGGACUGAGACACGGCCCAAACUCCUACGGGAGGCAGCAGUAGGGAAUCUUCCACMAUGGACGCAAGUCUGAUGGAGCAACGCCGCGUGAGUGAAGAAGGUUUUCGGAUCGUAAAGCUCUGUUGUUGGUGAAGAAGGAUAGAGGUAGUAACUGGCCUUUAUUUGACGGUAAUCAACCAGAAAGUCACGGCUAACUACGUGCCAGCAGCCGCGGUAAUACGUAGGUGGCAAGCGUUGUCCGGAUUUAUUGGGCGUAAAGCGAGCGCAGGCGGAAGAAUAAGUCUGAUGUGAAAGCCCUCGGCUUAACCGAGGAACUGCAUCGGAAACUG
rnacentral:rRNA from 1 species